rnacentral:rRNA from 1 species
GACGAACGCUGGCGGCGUGCUUAACACAUGCAAGUCGAACGGAAAGGCCCUGCUUUUGUGGGGUGCUCGAGUGGCGAACGGGUGAGUAACACGUGAGUAACCUGCCCUUGACUUUGGGAUAACUUCAGGAAACUGGGGCUAAUACCGGAUAGGAGCUCCUGCUGCAUGGUGGGGGUUGGAAAGUUUCGGCGGUUGGGGAUGGACUCGCGGCUUAUCAGCUUGUUGGUGGGGUAGUGGCUUACCAAGGCUUUGACGGGUAGCCGGCCUGAGAGGGUGACCGGCCACAUUGGGACUGAGAUACGGCCCAGACUCCUACGGGAGGCAGCAGUGGAGAAUAUUACGCAGUGGGCGGAAGCCUGAUGCGGCGGCGCCGCGUGCGUGAAGACGGCCUUCGAGUUGUAAACCGCUUUCGCCUGUGACGAAGCGGGAGUGACGGUAAUGGGUAAAGAAGCACCGGCUAACUACGUG